CUCGUUGCAUAACUUGGAUUGUUUUUUCUUACAACUGACUCCACUUGUUGACCAUUUUGCGAAGGGCUUUAUCUGCUGCUUUUACUACUUUUACCAAUGAGGAGGAUGGACUUCAAGGUCUUGUCGUGACAAUCAUCAACUUGGCGCAGAACUUUGUCGGUAGUAACAAUUUAAAUCUGUUGCUACCUAUUGGUCAAUUUCAUCUCGAGGAAGAAAAAGUCGAAGGGAGGCAAGCAAUGGUUGACAUCUCAUCUCGAGGAAGAAAAAGUCGAAGGGAGGCAAGCAAUGGUUGACAGCUCAUCUCGAGGAA